rnacentral:rRNA from 1 species
CUCGUAGGCGGUUCGUCGCGUCCGGUGUGAAAGUCCAUCGCCUAACGGUGGAUCUGUGCCGGGUACGGGCGGGCUUGAGUGCGGUAGGGGAGACUGGAAUUCCCGGUGUAACGGUGGAAUGUGUAGAUAUCGGGAAGAACACCAAUGGCGAAGGCAGGUCUCUGGGCCGUUACUGACGCUGAGGAGCGAAAGCGUGGGGAGCGAACA